UACGAACCGUACGAGCGUUAUUCGGAAUUACUGGGCUUAAAGGGUGCGUAGGCUGCGCGGUAAGUUGGGUGUGAAAUCCCUCGGCUCAACCGAGGAACUGCGCUCAAGACUACCGUGCUCGAGGGAGACAGAGGUGAGCGGAACUUAGGGUGGAGCGGUGAAAUGCGUUGAUAUCCGAAGGAACACCCGUGGCGAAAGCGGCUCACUGGGUCUCUUCUGACGCUGAGGCACGAAAGCUAGGGUAGCGAACGGG
rnacentral:rRNA from 1 species